GGGAUUAGUGGCGAACGGGUGAGUAACACGUGGGCAAUCUGCCCUUCACUCUGGGACAAGCCCUGGAAACGGGGUCUAAUACCGGAUACCACUUCCACUCGCAUGGGUGGGGGUUGAAAGCUCCGGCGGUGAAGGAUGAGCCCGCGGCCUAUCAGCUUGUUGGUGAGGUAACGGCUCACCAAGGCGACGACGGGUAGCCGGCCUGAGAGGGCGACCGGCCACACUGGGACUGAGACACGGCCCAGACUCCUACGGGAGGCAGCAGUGGGGAAUAUUGCACAAUGGGCGAAAGCCUGAUGCAGCGACGCCGCGUGAGGGAUGACGGCCUUCGGGUUGUAAACCUCUUUCAGCAGGGAAGAAGCGAAAGUGACGGUACCUGCAGAAGAAGCGCCGGCUAACUACGUGCCAGCAGCCGCGGUAAUACGUAGGGCGCAAGCGUUGUCCGGAAUUAUUGGGCGUAAAGAGCUCGUAGGCGGCUUGUCACGUCGGGUGUGAAAGCCCGGGGCUUAACCCCGGGUCUGCAUUCGAUACGGGCUAGCUAGAGUGUGGUAGGGGAGAUCGGAAUUCCUGGUGUAGCGGUGAAAUGCGCAGAUAUCAGGAGGAACACCGGUGGCGAAGGCGGAUCUCUGGGCCAUUACUGACGCUGAGGAGCGAAAGCGUGGGGAGCGAACA
rnacentral:rRNA from 1 species